GAGUUUGAUCGUGGCUCAGAACGAACGCUGGCGGCAGGCUUAACACAUGCAAGUCGAACGGACCCUGUGGGGCUUGCUCUGCAGGGUUAGUGGCGAACGGGUGCGUAACACGUGAGGAAUCUGUCCUUCGGCGGGGGAGUAGCCGGCCCAACGGCCGGGUAAUACCGCGUACGCUCGUUCCGGGGCGAUCCCGGGACGCGGAAAGCCGCAAGGCGCCGAUGGAGGAUCUCGCGGCCUAUCAGCUAGUUGGCGGGGUAAUGGCCCACCAAGGCGACGACGGGUAGCUGGUCUGAGAGGAUGGCCAGCCACAUUGGGACUGAGACACGGCCCAGACUCCUACGGGAGGCAGCAGUGGGGAAUCUUGCGCAAUGGGCGAAAAGCCUGACGCAGCGACGCCGCGUGUGGGAUGACGGCC
rnacentral:rRNA from 1 species